rnacentral:lncRNA from 10 species
UCUAUCUUCCAAAACCAAGAGAUCCAUAUUCACAGAGGGAAAUCUAUGAAGACCAAGUAGAUAAAGAAACAGUAAGUGACUUACAGAGGAAAAGAGCAAACCUGAAGACUUGCUGGAAGGGGCUAGAGGACACCUAUGGGGAGCCAGUUCUCUCCACAGAGCAACAUGAGGGCCCAAGAAAUGGAUGCACCAGCUAUUGAGGAAGACAGAUGGAUAAUAGGCAGGUAAAAAGGAAGGAAUUACUAGAUAGUCUCAGUAGAAGCCCUUCACCCCCAUAUACCUGCUCCUGCUUUGAAAAUGCAGGUGCUAAUUCACCAAACACCAACAGGAAAUGAAAAGUGUAUUUUCUGGAUAAACUAAACCAGGCAUAUGUGUAAAGACAGCAGCAGUGGACAAAUGCCAGGCUGAGAAUGAAAUGACUCUACAUUAGAAGCAGAAAGAAAAAAAUUAGGAAACAACUAAAGAUUUCUAAGUAGGAGUAUAAUGACCUCUUCCUAAGGAGUGUCAUAAUAUCUUCCUGACAUUUAAAAACAUGGUCUCUAUUAGGCAGCACCCUGCAAAGUAAUUCACUUACCCAUGUUGAGGAUUGUGGGCCACAAACAGCACUUUGACAGGCACUUCUGUCUGGCGAUUCUGUGUUCAGUUUGCUCAAGAACUCAGCGGUUUUGCUACCAGAAACACAAACAGGUGUUAGUGCCUUCACAAAAAUAUGAACAUAAUUCUUUAUUUUUCCUUUGGAUACUAACCUAGACUUAUUUGGGUGAUGAUUAAAAUUAUCUUCAGCAGAACAGAAAGUUACGUUGAGAACAAGGUGUAGCAGAAAUCAAAACAAAAUGCUAUUGCAAGAUUGCAUUCUUCAAGAACAAUAUUACAAAAUUAUAAAACUAGCUUUAUGAAAUGUGAGCUUAUGACCUCAUUUUUUCCACUUUAUAUUACUGACAUAAAUACAAGUCCUCUCCCAGAGCACAUUCCACAGCAUGCAGCCCUAAUUUCCUAUCUGAACAUUUAAUGCUUAACACUCAGACUUCAGGGUGGAGCUGUGGAACAUUCACGCCCUACAACAUCCUGCUUCACACCAGUUUUACAUUAAGCCCUUUACCCUCUCAUCUGCCUCAUGGCUUUGACCACUGUUAGGACACAGAGACCCUCUAAUCCAGUAGCUCUUUUCCAUUUAUGGAUCAUGGAGCCCUUUUGGACUCUGAAAGCAAAAGUGAACCCUCUGUUAACAGACACACACACACACACACACACACACACACACACACACAGUCCUUUGCAUUUUGUUUCAGAGAGAGGAUAAACCCUCCAUAGGGUUUAUCUAUAGAGGUUAAAAAGUGCUGCUGAUUCUAGACUGCAUUUCUAAUAUCUCUUUUUAGCUCUGAAAAAUUGACCUAGAAAUGUCCUCAGUUUAAAUAAGAAGUUCUCUGUUUUUACCUUAAAAAUCCAAACCACCACCCCAAUUUCCCCUCUCACUUAUGCCAAGCAUAGAACACUGGAAUUGUUUCCUAGUCCUUACCUCAGUGCCUGGCCCAUUCUGCCUACCCUUGAUUAAUUUCUACGCCUUUGUCCUUUUCUCAUGUAAUUUGUGUGAUUUUUAUCUCUUCAUUGCACAUUCACAGCCACAUACCUCAUUGAGCACUGACUUACUUUGCACCAGACUUGCGCAGCCUGUUCCCAUCUCCCUCCCUCCUCCUGCUAGCCCUCUGCUUCCCCCUAAUAUUUUAAGCCCAAUGCUAAGAUCUGAUUCAUCAAGUACUUAGGACAUGGGCAUCAAAGGAAACACAAAGUAUCUGGUAGAACAAAUGGCAUCCAGUGUAGGAGCAAAACAAGGAAUUAGAAACUAAACAGGUGCCAGCAUCACUUCAAAUAUUACUUAGGUAGAACAUGGCAUUUGAAAAAGGUCAGAAGCUUGAUCUGGGGAAGGAAGAAAUAAAAGUGAAGCAACAUACAGAACCCUGAGAAACAUUCAGCAGUUGAGACGAGCAGCCUUUCCAUUUGUCUUAGAUUACUUAUCUUGCCCAGAAUAGACAAGGAGACUAAUGAAGUCACAGAGUGUGGAAGCUGCCCCAUUGUCUGGGGCUUUAUGAAGUCAUCAGUCAAAAGUAUAAAAAGAAGAGUGAUGCCAGAAGUUUGGAUGAGAUCUCUGAAUAUCCUAAGCCAAGUGCAGGCCAUAGGAGAAAGCAGUGAAAAAGAAACACUGUGACAAGCAAGGAAGAAACUUCAGACCAAGUUGACAGGCAGCCCUUCAGUUUACUGACUGCCGCUUCUUACCUGCCAACGCCAAGCACAAAGCUGCCUGCAGAGCCAGCCUCUAUCUGUGGUCCUUGUGCCAAUUAUCACUGCCCCACUCAUGCCGCAGGAUAUAAAGCAGAGUGACAGGGUCACAGGACUGCCAGAGGAAUACAGGUAGGGGCCUGCAGAGUAUGCGGAUUACUGCCAAGUGAUCAACUAUACAAAGGAAGUCCCAUGUUACGACACUAACUCAUAUUUUUCUACUAUUAGCAUUAGUCCCUGGUAUAUAAAAUUUCCAUAUAUUGGCUGAACUGAAGUGGGAUCCCUGUAGGUAACUCUGGUUAUAUUUAACAAAAAUAAGAUGUAGAACCUGUUUGAGGGGCAAACGAAGGAAAACAUCCUCGUGGGAAGUCCAACUGGACUAAGAACCCUGGACUCUAGCACUGUUUUCACCUUGCCCUUGGGGGUU